rnacentral:lncRNA from 1 species
UCCAAGUGUCCUGCAGAAAAGCUAAUGGGCUGAUGACAGGCCUCUGCAUUAGCAGUGGGGUCUUUAAAGGAUCAGAUGCCUUCUCUUUAGAAUAACGGCACAGCUCAGAAUCCCACUUAGGCAGGUGUCUUCGCUAUGUCUUCCUUCCUCAUGAAGGUGAUUUGGAAAGAGCUCUUGGGAAUCGAGAUCCUCUGCUUUGGGGGGAUGAACUCUCCGACCUCUUAGAAUCACAGAAGCUACACAGGAAAAGGGAAGACUGCGCUCGGCCUGGAUUCUGGCCCCACCUUAGCCCCUGGCAUGUUCCUCUCUGGUUCUCUGUCGUUCUACAAGGCUACAGUGCGUGGGUUACAAACCCGCAGAUUUAAGGGAUUGUGAUUUAUGUUCUGUAGGCCUUAUGGGAUUCUACCGUUUCAGCAAGCUGCAUGCUUACAUCUGCAAGGGAUUUUUUUUAAAAUAAUGAUGCUUAUUAAGGCACUUACACUUGCAUUAUGUUAAUCCCCAUGACACCUCUGAGAAGUAGGGAAGGACUGUUAGGUUUUUGUUUUUUGCAGAUGAAAAAAACAAUGCCAGAAGUUUUGUUAAAAAAAGUUCCCCAAACAAAAGCCCUCCAAACAAACCUGUUCUUGUUGAUUUAAUAAGAAAAUUCUGAGAUACGGAAAUUAAAAUAAAAGUAUAAUUUUGACACCAUCUAGGCACACA